AAUUACCAUGACUUGCUUGCAAAUGAAGUUCCAAGUGACAAUGGAAACAUGAAGAAUUCAAAUAGAAGCAAUACCAUUGGAAAACCUGCAAAAGAAAAGGAACUCAGCAUCCAUUGUCCAAAUUCCACAUAUCCACCAGUAGUGCAUGACAACAACUUAAAUGUUAUGUCAUCUGGUGCACUUACUGCACAGUGGGAUGAUGUCUGCAAUGCAGACAAGUGCUAAUUGGAAUUCAGGACAAGGAAGUACAAACCCAUCUAAGGAUCUCAUGACAGGUUCUUAUCUUCACAAGCUAUUGCAAAUGUAAUCCACCAAGUGAUAGGUCCCUUCAUCCAGGUUUUGGUAUACUUCAACAUCAGCAUCCUACAACAAACAAGGGUUAAAACUGAAGGUAAUUCAUAUCCAGCAGUAGGAAAAUGUGAAACUGGCUUACACUGCAUAUGCCUAUAAAGAAGAUGCUGGAUGACCUGCAGUGCAACCACUAAAACCAUGACUAGCUUUACGUUUGUAUCCAACAGGAACAAAUCUUACAACACAUUCAAAACACUGCCAACAUUUUUGCAUCAAGCCAAGG
rnacentral:lncRNA from 1 species